AUGUUAGCUGGUUUAAUCAGAAAACCUCCUGAAUCAUCAAUGGUCGCCGCAAACAAUCCCUGCACUGGUGGGCGACCAUUGCCCCAGAUACAAGUGGAGCAAACUCCUCGUACCGAAGACUAUCCGCGACGACCUAGAAAGCAGCCCAUGGCUAACCUAGGCUCUGAAGAGAGAAGUGAUUCAUCCGAUUCUCAGGGGCCGGCAGCUCCCAGGCCUGAUGAGGAUCUGUACUACAAUCCUGAAAGAAAGCCGUAUGCUUUGGAAGAAGCUUGUACAGUUUGGGAAGGGGUUUUGAUUGAUCAAAAAGAAGAAUCUACUUCAACCGAUAUGCCCUUAGGCACGGCCAUACAUAACAUAGAAAUCACACUUGGAAAGGGUGGACAAUUAGCUAGAGCAGCAGGUGCUGUAGUGAAACUGAUUGCAAAAGAGGGGAAAUCGGCCACAUUAAAAUUACCUUCUGGGGAGUAUAUUUAUAUAAUAUUCAUAAGGUCAGUAUAUGUAUACAUUAUAUGUAUAGUAAUACUAGCGGGGAUUGUGGGACAAAAAAUAAAUCCACUUGGUUUCAGACUUGGUGCAACCCAAGGUCAUCAUUCUCUUUGGUUUGCACAACCAAAAAAUUAUUCUAAGGAACUACAAGAAGAUCAAAAAAUACGAAAUUGCAUCAAGAAUUAUGUACAAAAAAAUAUGAAAAUAUCUUCUAGUGUCGAGGGGAUUGCAUGGAUAGAGAUUAAAAAAAAAAUCGACUUGAUUCAAGUCAUAAUCUAUAUGGGAUUCCCAAAAUUAUUAAUAGCCCCCAAAAAAUGGAAGAAUUACAGAUGAAUGUAAAAAAGGAACUUAAUUCGAUGAACCGGAAACUUAACAUUGCUAUUACAAGAAUAGCAAAUCCUUAUGGACACCCUAAUAUUCUAGCAGAAUUUAUAGCCGGACAAUUAAAAAAUAGAGUUUCAUUUCGCAAAGCAAUGAAAAAGGCUAUUGAAUUAACUGAACAGGCAGGUACAAAAGGAAUUCAAAUACAAAUUGCAGGGCGUAUCGACGGAAAAGAAAUUGCACGUGUCAAAUGGAUCCGAGAAGGUAGGGUGCCCCUACAAACCAUUCGAGCUAAAAUUGAUUACUGUUCCUAUACAGUUGGAAGUAUCUAUGGGGUAUUAGGUAUCAAAAUUUGGAUAUUUGUCGAUGAGGACUAAUAAUCCUUUACUUGACUUAUCUUUAGAUCUAUCAGGUAAUAUACCAAAAAACCAAAAAAGAAAAAACUCUUUUUUCUAUUAAAUCAAAACAAAAAUAAAUAAUUCUACAAGGUUGAAUAAAAAUUCUAUUAAUCCGUUGAUUUAAUAUAAUUGUUAUUCUUAGUGUGUGACUCGUUGGUUUUUUUAGGGUUAGAUUUAAAAACAAAAAUAGACCAGCCCAUAGUGUGAAUUAAUAACCAACUCAUCGUUUCGCAUUAUCUGGAUAUAAAGAACCAGUCGAGAUAUGAUAUAUUGGUCAUAUCAUUGUAGCAACUGAAAUCUGUUUUGGAUAAAAAAAAAAAAACAAAACAAAAUUGAUUAGGAGUUGUGAAACAAUAAAAGUUAAAGUGUGUGGAUAAAUGAAAAGAUGAGAGAAAGAGAGAAAAAAAUACCAAUGAUAUAGAGUUCAAUAUGUAGGGUCUAUGAUUCAUUUUCAUAAAGGAAAAUGUAAUAAAGCAUUAAUACUGAAUUGAUCCCUAAUUAAACAAAAUUGUUCUAUUAAGAACAAA